rnacentral:rRNA from 1 species
UUAAGCGACCAAGCGUACACGGUGGAUGCCCUGGCAGUCAGAGGCGAUGAAGGACGUGCUAAUCUGCGAAAAGCGCCGGUAAGGUGAUAUGAACCGUUAUAACCGGCGAUGUCCGAAUGGGGAAACCCAGUGUGACUCGUCACACUAUCAUUAACUGAAUCCAUAGGUUAAUGAGGCGAACCGGGGGAACUGAAACAUCUAAGUACCCCGAGGAAAAGAAAUCAACCGAGAUUCCCCCAGUAGCGGCGAGCGAACGGGGAGGAGCCCAGAGCCUGAAUCAGCAUGUGUGUUAGUGGAAGCGUCUGGAAAGGCGCGCGAUACAGGGUGAGAGCCCCGUACACAAAAGCGCAUGUGCUGUGAGCUCGAUGAGUAGGGCGGGACACGUGGUAUCCUGUCUGAAUAUGGGGGGACCAUCCUCCAAGGCUAAAUACUCCUGACUGACCGAUAGUGAACCAGUACCGUGAGGGAAAGGCGAAAAGAACCCCGGCGAGGGGAGUGAAAAAGAACCUGAAACCGUGUACGUACAAGCAGUGGGAGCCCCACCACUAAGCCAGUGGUGAACUCCACAUACGCAUCCUUUGCGGAAGAUACGGUUAACGGAGCGAAAGCGACGUUCAACCGCAAAAGAAGCAGAGGGGGCUUAGUGGUGGGGUGACUGCGUACCUUUUGUAUAAUGGGUCAGCGACUUAUAUUCUGUAGCAAGGUUAACCGCAUAGGGGAGCCGAAGGGAAACCGAGUCUUAAUUGGGCGUUAAGUUGCAGGGUAUAGACCCGAAACCCGGUGAUCUAGCCAUGGGCAGGUUGAAGGUUGGGUAACACUAACUGGAGGACCGAACCGACUAAUGUUGAAAAAUUAGCGGAUGACCUGUGGCUGGGGGUGAAAGGCCAAUCAAACCGGGAGAUAGCUGGUUCUCCCCGAAAGCUAUUUAGGUAGCGCCUCGUGAAUUCAUCUCCGGGGGUAGAGCACUGUUUCGGCUAGGGGGCCAUCCCGGCUUACCAACCCGAUGCAAACUGCGAAUACCGGAGAAUGUUAUCACGGGAGACACACGGCGGGUGCUAACGUCCGUCGUGAAGAGGGAAACAACCCAGACCGCCAGCUAAGGUCCCAAAGUCAUGGUUAAGUGGGAAACGAUGUGGGAAGGCCCAGACAGCCAGGAUGUUGGCUUAGAAGCAGCCAUCAUUUAAAGAAAGCGUAAUAGCUCACUGGUCGAGUCGGCCUGCGCGGAAGAUGUAACGGGGCUAAACCAUGCACCGAAGCUGCGGCAGCGAACGUAUCACUUAAAACGAUUCAGAAGGUUACGAUUGACGGAGCGAAGCGACGUCAAAGCGUAUACAAAGUCGAGUCGGUUUAAGGAUACGUUCGUUGGGUAGGGGAGCGUUCUGUAAGCCGCAGAAGGUGGCCUGUGAGGGUUGCUGGAGGUAUCAGAAGUGCGAAUGCUGACAUAAGUAACGAUAAAGCGGGUGAAAAGCCCGCUCGCCGGAAGACCAAGGGUUCCUGUCCAACGUUAAUCGGGGCAGGGUGAGUCGACCCCUAAGGCGAGGCCGAAAGGCGUAGUCGAUGGGAAACAGGUUAAUAUUCCUGUACUUGGUGUUACUGCGAAGGGGGGACGGAGAAGGCUAUGUUGGCCGGGCGACGGUUGUCCCGGUUUAAGCGUGUAGGUGUGUGUUCCAGGUAAAUCCGGUUCACUUUAACACUGAGGCGUGACGACGAGGCACUACGGUGCUGAAGCAACAAAUGCCCUGCUUCCAGGAAAAGCCUCUAAGCAUCAGGUAACAUCAAAUCGUACCCCAAACCGACACAGGUGGUCAGGUAGAGAAUACCAAGGCGCUUGAGAGAACUCGGGUGAAGGAACUAGGCAAAAUGGUGCCGUAACUUCGGGAGAAGGCACGCUGACAUGUAGGUGAAGUGAUUUACUCACGGAGCUGAAGUCAGUCGAAGAUACCAGCUGGCUGCAACUGUUUAUUAAAAACACAGCACUGUGCAAACACGAAAGUGGACGUAUACGGUGUGACGCCUGCCCGGUGCCGGAAGGUUAAUUGAUGGGGUCAGCGCAAGCGAAGCUCCUGAUCGAAGCCCCGGUAAACGGCGGCCGUAACUAUAACGGUCCUAAGGUAGCGAAAUUCCUUGUCGGGUAAGUUCCGACCUGCACGAAUGGCGUAAUGAUGGCCAGGCUGUCUCCACCCGAGACUCAGUGAAAUUGAACUCGCUGUGAAGAUGCAGUGUACCCGCGGCAAGACGGAAAGACCCCGUGAACCUUUACUAUAGCUUGACACUGAACAUUGAGCCUUGAUGUGUAGGAUAGGUGGGAGGCUUUGAAGCGUGGACGCCAGUCUGCGUGGAGCCAACCUUGAAAUACCACCCUUUAAUGUUUGAUGUUCUAACGUGGACCCGUAAUCCGGGUUGCGGACAGUGUCUGGUGGGUAGUUUGACUGGGGCGGUCUCCUCCUAAAGAGUAACGGAGGAGCACGAAGGUUGGCUAAUCCUGGUCGGACAUCAGGAGGUUAGUGCAAUGGCAUAAGCCAGCUUGACUGCGAGCGUGACGGCGCGAGCAGGUGCGAAAGCAGGUCAUAGUGAUCCGGUGGUUCUGAAUGGAAGGGCCAUCGCUCAACGGAUAAAAGGUACUCCGGGGAUAACAGGCUGAUACCGCCCAAGAGUUCAUAUCGACGGCGGUGUUUGGCACCUCGAUGUCGGCUCAUCACAUCCUGGGGCUGAAGUAGGUCCCAAGGGUAUGGCUGUUCGCCAUUUAAAGUGGUACGCGAGCUGGGUUUAGAACGUCGUGAGACAGUUCGGUCCCUAUCUGCCGUGGGCGCUGGAAGAUUGAGGGGGGCUGCUCCUAGUACGAGAGGACCGGAGUGGACGCAUCACUGGUGUUCGGGUUGUCAUGCCAAUGGCACUGCCCGGUAGCUAAAUGCGGAAAAGAUAAGUGCUGAAAGCAUCUAAGCACGAAACUUGCCCCGAGAUGAGUCUUCCCUGAGACUUUAAGUCUCCUGAAGGAACGUUGAAGACGACGACGUUGAUAGGCCGGGUGUGUAAGCGCAGCGAUGCGUUGAGCUAACCGGUACUAAUGAACCGUGAGGCUUAACCUU